rnacentral:rRNA from 1 species
UUGAACGCUGGCGGCAGGCCUAACACAUGCAAGUCGAAUGGUAACAGGAAACAGCUUGCUGUUUCGCUGACGAGUGGCGGACGGGUGAGUAAUGUCUGGGAAACUGCCUGAUGGAGGGGGAUAACUACUGGAAACGGUAGCUAAUACCGCAUAACGUCGCAAGACCAAAGAGGGGGACCUUCGGGCCUCUUGCCAUCAGAUGUGCCCAGAUGGGAUUAGCUAGUAGGUGGGGUAACGGCUCACCUAGGCGACGAUCCCUAGCUGGUCUGAGAGGAUGACCAGCCACACUGGAACUGAGACACGGUCCAGACUCCUACGGGAGGCAGCAGCGGGGAAUAUUGCACAAUGGGCGCAAGCCUGAUGCAGCCAUGCCGCGUGUAUGAAGAAGGCCUUCGGGUUGUAAAGUACUUUCAGCGGGGAGGAAGGGAGUAAAGUUAAUACCUUUGCUCAUUGACGUUACCCGCAGAAGAAGCACCGGCUAACUCCGUG